GCAUUAAUGGGGUAGUGGUAACCUGGGUCAUUGCCAUCAUGAGAGUUCUUCUAAAUCUAUCUCGACCCGCCGGGGGUUGGAUUCCCUCUUAAUGCA